rnacentral:tRNA from 1 species
GUCCCGUUAGCUCAGUUGGUAGAGCACUUGACUUUUAAUCAAGGUGUCAAAGGUUCGAAUCCUUUACGGGACA